GAUGAACGCUGGCGGCGUGCCUAAUACAUGCAAGUCGAACGCUGGAGAUCUAGCUUGCUAGCUCGAAGGAGUGGCGAACGGGUGAGUAAUACAUAAGCAACCUACCCACGAAGACUGGGAUAAUCUCUGGAAACGGGGACUAAUACCGGAUAGGUAAUCGGAAGGCCUCUUCUGGUUAUUAAAGGUUAAAAACACUGGUGGAUGGACUUAUGGCGCAUUAGUUAGUUGGUGAGGUAACGGCCCACCAAGACGAUGAUGCGUAGCCGGCCUGAGAGGGUGAACGGCCACAUUGGGACUGAGACACGGCCCAGACUCCUACGGGAGGCAGCAGUAGGGAAUUUUCGGCAAUGGGGGCAACCCUGACCGAGCAACGCCGCGUGAGUGAAGACGGCCUUCGGGUUGUAAAGCUCUGUUGUAAGGGAAGAACGGUAGAUAGAGAAUAUCUAAGUGACGGUACCUUACCAGAAAGCCACGGCUAACUACGUG
rnacentral:rRNA from 1 species